UACGGAGGAUCCAAGCGUUAUCCGGAUUUAUUGGGUUUAAAGGGUGCGUAGGCGGUUUGGUAAGUCAGUGGUGAAAGCCCAUCGCUCAACGGUGGAACGGCCAUUGAUACUGCCAGACUUGAAUUAUUAGGAAGUAACUAGAAUAUGUAGUGUAGCGGUGAAAUGCUUAGAGAUUACAUGGAAUACCAAUUGCGAAGGCAGGUUACUACUAAUGGAUUGACGCUGAUGGACGAAAGCGUGGGUAGCGAACAGG
rnacentral:rRNA from 1 species